GUCUUCCCUGACAUGGUAGGCUCAUUCCUGUUAGAAAUGGAAGUUGGAGUAUGAAACCAGGAGCACUAGAGGAAGGAAAGCAGGAAUUCAAGGCUACCCUGGGUUACUUAAUAAUACCUUGUCCCUGUCAUUAAAAAAAAGUCAAGU